rnacentral:rRNA from 1 species
UGGGGAAUUUUGGACAAUGGGGGAAACCCUGAUCUAGCCAUCCCGCGUGUGCGAUGAAGGCCUUCGGGUUGUAAAGCACUUUUGGCAGGAAAGAAACGUCAUGGGUUAAUACCCCGUGAAACUGACGGUACCUGCAGAAUAAGCACCGGCUAACUACGUGCCAGCAGCCGCGGUAAUACGUAGGGUGCAAGCGUCAAUCGGAAUUACUGGGCGUAAAGCGUGCGCAGGCGGUUCGGAAAGAAAGAUGUGAAAUCCCAGAGCUCAACUUUGGAACUGCAUUUUUAACUACCGGGCUGGAGUGUGUCAGAGGGGAGUGGAAUUCCGCGUGUAGCAGUGAAAUGCGUAGAUAUGCGGAAGAACACCGAUAGCGAAGGCGGCCUCCUGGGAUAGCACUGACGCUAAUGCACGAAAGCGUGGGGAGCAGACAGG